rnacentral:rRNA from 1 species
GUCUAUGGCCAUAAAAACGUGCCUAACCUUGUCUGAUCUUGGAAGCUAAGGAGAGUUGGGCCUGCUUAGCACUUGGUUGGAAGACUAACUAGAACUAAGAGGUGCUGUAGUUU